ensembl:lincRNA
CAGCCGCAGCCGCGCCCGCACCCGCAGAGGCUCGGGCGGGGAGCGCGGGCGCCGGCGGCGGCCCAGCCGGCGACCCAGGCGGGAGACGCGGCCCUCGGGGCUCCUCCGCACCUCCCCGCAGUCUCCGGGGCUCCCAGCCGUCAUCUCGCUGUCGUCUGGGCGCUCUGCGGAGAGAAGAUGGUUGGCAGGGACUGGACCGACGGACCUAGGUUCGGGGAGCCAGGCUCGGGGCCCAAAUCCGGGAGGGAAGCUCGGACCGCCUCGCCCAGGCCGCUUGGAGAUCCCUGGCGGCCACCCCCGGAUUUUCCCGGGCUGCGAGGCGGGGAGCCUCCAACGCUCGGGUUUUCCGCAGCGGAGCACCGAGCCAGGGACGCGCGGCAGAAGCCGGAGUUGGCCCGGCCUGCUGGCGGAGAGGAGGGAGGGGGGCGCGGGCUGCUCCCUGGCGCAUCCCCGGCUGCGGGGCUCCGGCCGCCUGCGCCCGUUGCUACCCCGCGCGGGUCCCGGGCCUCGGGAAGCCUCGCGGGCCCCAGGCAGCGGCGUCUCCUGGGUAAGUACCGCCCGGGCUCGACCCCACCCCCGCACGUGGCGGCACGGCACUGAGGGAGGGGCGCUCGGGCCGCCCUAGUCCGCAGGGGUCGCUCGUGGGCCCCACCUCCCCCCUACUGCGCUUUACAUACCGCAGCGUGGGAAGGAAGGAGGGGAUGUCACCGACUCCAGCCUCUCCCUGCCCGCCCCCUCCUUCCAGACCUCGGUCAGCACUGAAGCUGCAGCAGGACAGACUUGAGCUAGACUCCGAGAAGACCGCUCUGACCAAGACCAGGCAGUCAGAGGAGAGGAGGCAGCGCCGGACUUUGUCCAGGAUUGCUGUCAACUCCGCGCAAAAGAGGCCUCUCCCUCCCCAGCGGCUGGGCGGGAGGCAGGGGGCUGCCGGCCCGGGGCGCAGGGCCUCGCCGGAUGGACUCCCCUCCCCGCUCUCCCGUCGGCUGGGGCAAGGCUGUUCCCAGGUUGCGGCGUUUCCGAUUCGGGAUCCUCCAGAUGAAUCAUCCGCCUUUCCCGCCGCCUGGCCUCCUUUCCGGCCUCCUCCGCCCGAGGCCUCAGUGGCCCGCGUCCCGGCCAGAGCAGCACCGCCCCUGUGCCUCAGGCCGCCCGGGUCCGGGCCACACAGCUGAAGCGCCUCCCGGCUGCUGGUCGCGCGGCCCUGCGGCCCGAGGCCUGGGUCCCGGCCGGGACAGGAGCCGCCGGGCUGCGCGCACGGGGUGGCCCCACGACAGGGAGGCUGUGGGAGGGAGCGCGGCCCCCACCCAGGCGCCCAGCCCGCAGGAGCAGAGGGUAGGACCUCGCGUCCACUGGUGCGCCCUCCGCCCCCGUCUGGUGUCUAAACAGCUGCAGCGCUGGAAGGAGGAGGCCUUGCUACCCUACCCACGCCCCAUCUGCACCCCGAAGCUCAAAGCAGGACACCAUCCCCGCUCGCUCACACAGGGGCCGGGCCUAGCGCGAACCGCAGCGUCUGCCGCGGCCGAAGCCUGGUUUCACAGAAGGAAACUGCGGCCCAGAGAGGCUGAGGAGCCCGCCGGGGUCACACCGCCGCACGAGGCGGGGACUUCACCAGGGCCGUCGCCGGGCUCCUGCACCCUAGCCCUGGGCACCCGACACUUCUUGGCACAGCCACAGAGCGUCCUGGAAGGAGGCCCCGGCGCGUCCCUGCCUGGAGGGAGAUGAAAACACACAGAGCGAAGAGAUGGGGACAUGCUCAGAGACCCCGGGACUCUGGAGGGUGAGUCCACGAUGGGGACCCCACGCAGGCAGAAAGUUGGAGACACAGCCUGACCGUCCCAGGUCGCGGGAAGUUGCUCGGGGCCGAGUCCGCCGUACUCUGGGGUUCUCCCGCCACCGGCCGCGGCCACACUCCGGUCGGGGGGAAAGGGAGGACCGCGCUGCCGCCCCGGGGCCGUGCCGAGGGAGGGGCCAAACAGAAAGUUAGGGAAAGUGGGGAGCAAACCCAGGGAUCCUGGCUCGGCUCACCUAGUUCGGCCGGUCCGGGCGCGAGUGCGCGCGCCGCGCCUCCCCGCGCCGCCUGGGUCUCCACGGAACCCGGCCCCGCCCCGGCUCCGCCCCGGCCCCGCCCCCGGGGCCCCCGGCACCGUCCGGGUCGCGCAGGGCCCGGCCCCCACGCUGCGAAAAGGCGGCAACUCAGGUCUGAGGGGCGCAGGUGAGCGCUGUGUGCGCGCCUGGUGACUCCGCGCCUCUGGGGACCCGAGUCCUGCCAUCCCCACUCCCUCCCGCAGCUUCAUCGCUUGGAGAGGCCCGAAGGGCGCCCCCUUCCUCCGUGGGGAGGCUGAGACCCCAGGACCGAGGACCCCGCAGCCCGAGCCUGCAGACUGAGGAUGAGGAAUCCGCACAGCCGCCUCGCAGAAGCGGCGACCCCACGGCGCUCCCGCGGUCUGAGCCUCACUGCCGUCAUCUGCAAAAUGGGCUCAGCGCCGCCGCCCCACCAGAUGCUGAGAGGCGCAUCCGGCGCCGAGGGCAGAGUCGCGACCCCGCACGCCCUCGGUGGGCGGCAGUCGCGGG